rnacentral:rRNA from 1 species
UACGUAGGGGGCAAGCGUUGUCCGGAAUUAUUGGGCGUAAAGAGCGUGUAGGCGGUCCGGUAAGUCGGCUGUGAAAGUCCAGGGCUCAACCCUGGAAUGCCGGUGGAAACUGUCGGGCUGGAGUCCGGAAGAGGCGAGUGGAAUUCCUGGUGUAGCGGUGAAAUGCGCAGAUAUCAGGAGGAACACCAAUGGCGAAGGCAGCUCGCUGGGACGGUACUGACGCUGAGACGCGAAAGCGUGGGGAGCAAACAGG